rnacentral:rRNA from 1 species
CUUGCUCUUCUUGGAUGAGUUGCGAACGGGUGAGUAACGCGUAGGUAACCUGCCUUGUAGCGGGGGAUAACUAUUGGAAACGAUAGCUAAUACCGCAUAACAAUGGAUGACACAUGUCAUUUAUUUGAAAGGGGCAAUUGCUCCACUACAAGAUGGACCUGCGUUGUAUUAGCUAGUAGGUGAGGUAACGGCUCACCUAGGCGACGAUACAUAACCGACCUGAGAGGGUGAUCGGCCACACUGGGACUGAGACACGGCCCAGACUCCUACGGGAGGCAGCAGUAGGGAAUCUUCGGCAAUGGGGGCAACCCUGACCGAGCAACGCCGCGUGAGUGAAGAAGGUUUUCGGAUCGUAAAGCUCUGUUGUAAGUCAAGAACGAGUGUGAGAGUGGAAAGUUCACACUGUGACGGUAGCUUACCAGAAAGGGACGGCUAACUACGUGCCAGCAGCCGCGGUAAUACGUAGGUCCCGAGCGUUGUCCGGAUUUAUUGGGCGUAAAGCGAGCGCAGGCGGUUUGAUAAGUCUGAAGUUAAAGGCUGUGGCUCAACCAUAGUUCGCUUUGGAAACUGUCAAACUUGAGUGCAGAAGGGGAGAGUGGAAUUCCAUGUGUAGCGGUGAAAUGCGUAAAUAUAUGGAGGAACACCGGUGGCGAAAGCGGCUCUCUGGUCUGUAACUGACGCUGAAGCUCGAAAGCGUGGGGAGCGAACA